GGACCUGACCCAGGACAUGGAGCUGGUGGAGACCAGGCCUGAUGGGAAUGGAACCUUCCAGAAGUGGGCGGCUGUGGUGGUGCCUUCUGGAGAGGAGCAGAGUUACACGUGCCGUGUGCAGCACGAGGGGCUGCCUGAGCCCCGCACCCUGAGAUGGGAGUCGCCUGCUCAGCCCCCGUUCCCCAUCCUGUGGGUUGUUGCUGCUGCAGUUCUCCUUGUAGCUGUGCUCGCUGGCGCUGCUCUCCUGAUGUGGAGGAGGAAGAGAGCAGGUGUAGAAGGAGGGUGCUACGCUCAGGCUGCAGGUAGUGACAGUGCCUAGAGCUGUGAUUCAUCUCUUGAGCCUUGUAAAGAUGAGAGCCUGGAGGGAGGGCCUGAGAGAGCCUGUCUUUCAUGGGAGCAGUGGGUUCUUCAGAACGGUGCCACGCAGAGCCAUGGCCCUGAAUGGUUCACGACUCUUCUGUCCUGUAGCGUGAGACAGCUGCCUUGUGGGUGACCAAGCAACACCAACUUCUGCAGCCCACGCUUUGUGACCUCCAGAACACCCGAAUCAUCUCCCUGCAAACAGCUUCUGAGUGUGCCCAGGUUCCUGUCGGCUCGGGGAGGGAGUGUAGACAGCAUCCCGGCUCUGGACACCAGAAUGCCUGUCCCCACGCUGACCAGAGUUACCUACCUCAUCAACUGUCCUGUUCCAGCAGCCAUGGGUUGGGUGGCUCCAGCCGUGUCAGGCUGCUUCUGUGCUGUCGUGAGAACUGUCCCACACCUGGCCAGUGUAGCUCUGUCUUGUAGUGUGCUGCUGGUCAGCUGUCCAGUGGCUGAAGCUGGGUGGGGAAUGAAGCUGUGUGCGGACUCCAGCACAACAAAGCUACUCACUUGGCAGGGAGACAGGGCUUGCUGCACCCAGCGGGUUUCUCACAGGGAUGAGAUGGAGCGGAGCGUGCACAGCUUUGCCAGGAUCCUUCCUGCUUUUUAUCCUGCUUUUAUUUGAAUAACAGCCCUACAGUAAAUCUAUUAGCUUAGCAAAGCUGUGUGUGAUAGUGCAGCCUACAGGUCACUUAGUAACAAGUGGGGGUGUGUGAAUUGUUUCUUGGACUGCUGGUCCUUUUCAGAGGCGGACGUUUCUUUUACAUGUUUUCAGGAAAUUCAUGCAGCACAUACUGAAUGUAAGACUUAAGAAUAUAUGUUUGGUUUAUUGGGGACCUGGCCAAGAUCCACAACUUCCUGUAUGAGGGGUAUAACGAAAGGAUGAAAUAAAAAACAGAGACAUUUAGUAAUACAUGACGGAGGGCCUGGGGGUCAAUGCCUAAGGUUGGCAGAGAUGCCGAACUAGCCAGUAUUUACUGGGUGUAUACAAUAACCAGAGGGAUUACCGGAUGACUCAGAGGGCAGGGGCGACCUUAUGCUAAUGAGGAUCUUUGUGUUGAUGAAGAUGGUAGGGAGAGAGAUGGCACGUUUUGGAGUUUAUCCUUUCUCCACGGUGAAACUGUUUUUCUUACUACUGUGUUCUCAAGGAAUCGGGAUGUCUUCGAUGAUACAAUCUUGUCUUGGGUAUCACAGCAUCAAGGGACCAAGGAGGCCUCAACUGUGACCAAGGACACAUGGAAUUAUGUUCCCACAUACUAUAUCCACCUGCCUGGCAGGACAAGAGGCCUCGGAAAAGCCCUAAUCAGAAUUUAAUUAUACAAUGAUUUUUCCCCAACAAUUAUAUAGAAUGGUCUCCAGCAGGUUUUUUUCAAACUCAUGACAUGAGUGGUUGCCCAGUUCAUUAAAGAAGACUUCCAAAAGUUUUUUAAAUUUUUUUUUAUUUUUUUAUUGGGAAUUGAACUCAUGACCUCAGGCUUGCCAGGCAAGUGCUUACUCCGUUGAGCUACAUACCUGGCUGGACUUCCUAUGUUUGAGUGUUGGUAAUAAAUCAGAGCAAUGAGACCUUU